rnacentral:rRNA from 1 species
GACGAACGCUGGCGGCGUGCCUAAUACAUGCAAGUCGAACGCAGUGGGGACGGGUGAGUAACACGUGGGUAACCUCCCAUCAGCGGGGAUAACACUUGGAAACAGGUGCUAAACCGAUACUGAUUGAUGGACCCGCGGUGCAUUAGCUAGUGGGGGGGGAAACGGCUAACCAAGGCCACGAUGCAUAGACGACACGGGAGGGGGACCGGACAACAUGGGACUGAGGCACGGCCCAGGAGCCUAAGGGAGGGAGGCGGAGGGAAUUUUCGGCAAAGGACGAAAGUUUGAACGAGAAAAGGCGCGUGAGGUAAGAAGGUUUUCGGGUUGGAAAACUCUGUUGUUAGAGAAAAGGUAGCUAACCAGAAAGCCAAGGCUAACUAAGUGCCAGCAGCCGAGGUAAUAC